UCUGCUUAAGUGAUAUUUUCUCCUUGUAUCCCUCUAGUACCGUUUCGUGUACUGCCGCCAUCCUUUAGUCUUGACUUUUAAGUGUCACAUGAAUUGCGCAGCGGCGUCAGAAGAUUAUUAGCCUUGGCAGAAACGAACGAACCACGUAAUCGUAUUGACUGUUUCUUGUUAGUCGAGAGGCUCGGGACAUGACGGACGAUGGUGUUGUUUUUACCGGCCAGUCUCGGUCGCCGCCGCCGCCGCCGCCGCCGCCGCCCCUCGCGUGCACGUGCUGCUCGUGGGCAUCGCUGGUAGCUGCGAUAAGGGCUUUGUGUGCACCCUUAUUAUGCCUCGGUUUCAUUAGAUUUCAUCUUAUAUGGAAGCAGUGUAAGAAUGGGAUAAUCAUAGGUAUUUGCAUAUCAUUAAUGGGGUGUGGCCGCCGUAGACAAGGGAGCAAAAAAUGGACCGUCAGCAGCUGCCCGCGGGGCACACCUGGCGUAGUCUAGCACGUGCGUUGCCAUGGCGAUGGCGUCCUACAGCGCGCUGCCGGACGCAUGACUUAAUUUUACUUUGACGAUUAAAGCGCACUGUACUGCAGAGACGAUAGUUUAAGUCCCUAAUUUGUCAUGAGGUAAAUAACAAGUCUGCUCAAUAGUCCGUUUAAGUAACGAAGACGGAAAGGUUCCACGAGCUCUUAAUGACCACAUCUGCCUGGCAGCCACUUCUCAGCCAGUCAUCACCCGGCCAGCGAAGGAUGUGGAUGCGUGACGCUCGCUCCGUCCGCCGUGCUCUCUCUGGCCACCGGGCUCGCUGAUCCUCCCCACGCGCGUGUUCUUCGGGUGCCACUGUCAGGGUUUUAGAUUCAUAUUUGUGCCACUAGUUACGCAAACUGAAGAGCAGGAUUAAUGUUGGGAACAAGCUGAUAGUGUUGGAAACGAGUGCUUCAACAAGUGGCUUAUUGAAGGCUUUGAUCACCACUCUGUGUCCUCGUCAGCCAUGGGCGGGACCUGUACCUCCAGUUCCUUCCUGCCGCUGCUCCUGGCCACCCUCAGCAUCACGCACGCUGAGAGAGGGAGACGAAGAGUCGAUAUCCUGGCGGUGCCCUCGUGCCUUGCUGCCCUUGACUGUGUGCUGCGUUCAGCGAGAAACUUGCACACCUUGCACUCGUCUGCCUCACCCAAUCACGGCGGCGAAGGUGAUAAAAGACAUAUCUGAUUUGGUGAGGAGACGAGCAUAUUGAAGGCGCUCUUUCUAGUCAGUUCGAGGUCUUGCCGACACCUACAAUGUGUCCCUCUCCGCCCCGUCACCCCGAAGCCUGCAGCCCCGCACCCUCGCCUUCCCUGCCCCACCUCGCCCCACCUCCUGAGUUGAGACGUUCCCUCGAGGAAGGUGUAAAUGCAAAGGGAAUAAAUGUUUUGUGCUUCAGAAUUCAUGUUUCUGGAUGCAGACGUCUCUCUCUCUCUCUCUCUCUCUCUCUCUCUCUCUCUCUCUCUCUCUCUCUCUCUCUCUCUCUCUCUCUCUCUCUCUCUCUCUCUCUCUCUCUCUCUCUCUCUCUCUCUCUCUCACACACACACACACACACACACACACACACACACACACACACACACACACACACACACACCACACACACACACACACACACA